ACGUUCAUACCACGCUGAUAUACCAGUUUCCGCACGAUCACCGAAGUUAAGCAACGUCGAGCCUGUUCAGUAUCUAGAUGGGUGGCUGGUUGAGAAUACCAGGUGCUGUAA